rnacentral:rRNA from 1 species
GACGAACGCUGGCGGCGUGCUUAACACAUGCAAGUCGAACGGAAAGGCCCUGCUUUUGUGGGGUGCUCGAGUGGCGAACGGGUGAGUAACACGUGAGUAACCUGCCCUUGACUUUGGGAUAACUUCAGGAAACUGGGGCUAAUACCGGAUAGGAGCUCCUGCUGCAUGGUGGGGGUUGGAAAGUUUCGGCGGUUGGGGAUGGACUCGCGGCUUAUCAGCUUGUUGGUGGGGUAGUGGAUUACCAAGGCUUUGACGGGUAGCAGGCCUGAGAGGGUGAACGGCCACAUUGGGACUGAGAUACGGCCCAGACUCCUACGGGAGGCAGCAGUGGGGAAUAUUGCACAAUGGGCGGAAGCCUGAUGCAGCAACGCCGCGUGCGGGAUGACGGCCUUCGGGUUGUAAACCGCUUUCGCCUGUGACGAAGCGUGAGUGACGGUAAUGGGUAAAGAAGCACCGGCUAACUACGUG